UACGUAGGGUGCGAGCGUUGUCCGGAAUUAUUGGGCGUAAAGAGCUCGUAGGCGGUGUGUCGCGUCGGCCGUGAAAACCUGGGGCUCAACUCUGGGCGUGCGGUCGAUACGGGCAUCACUUGAGUUCGGCAGGGGAGACUGGAAUUCCUGGUGUAGCGGUGAAAUGCGCAGAUAUCGGGAGGAACACCAGUAGCGAAGGCGGCACUCUGGGCCGGUACUGACGCUGAGGAGCGAAAGCGUGGGGAGCGAACAGG
rnacentral:rRNA from 1 species